rnacentral:rRNA from 1 species
UACGUAGGGUGCAAGCGUUGUCCGGAAUUAUUGGGCGUAAAGAGCUCGUAGGCGGCUUGUCGCGUCGGCUGUGAAAACCUGGGGCUCAACCCCGGCCUGCAGCCGAUACGGGCAGCUAGAAUUCGGUAGGGAGACUGGAAUUCCUGGUGUAGCGGUGGAAAUGCGCAGAUAUCAGGAGGAACACCGGUGGCGAAGGCGGGUCUCUGGGCCGAAAUUGACGCUGAGGAGCGAAGCGUGGGGAGCAAACAGG